UGAUGAUGGCAAGGGCAAUUUCUAAGCAUACUUUUAAAUCUCUCUCAAGCUUGGUAGAUAUUCUUUCUUUCUUUCUAUCUAAAACUCAUAAUCUCACUUCUCAAAUG
rnacentral:snoRNA from 1 species